GGCGUAGACGGUAAAGCAAGUCUGAAGUGAAAGCCCGGGGCUCAACCCCGGGACUGCUUUGGAAACUGUUUAACUAGAGUGCUGGAGAGGUAAGCGGAAUUCCUAGUGUAGCGGUGAAAUGCGUAGAUAUUAGGAGGAACACCAGUGGCGAAGGCGGCUUACUGGACAGUAACUGACGUUGAGGCUCGAAAGCGUGGGGAGCAAACA
rnacentral:rRNA from 1 species